GAAGCUUUGCAAGGGGUAAAAGUAAAAACGUAUAUCAAUGGGUUCAGCACAAACACAGGCCAGUGAGUUUCCUGGCACCGUCUUGCUCUGCUCCCUGCUAUGCCUGUGGAUUUCAGAGUGCUGGGAAGUGUGCAGGAGGUGUUGGGGGCUGGGGAGAUGGUGGAGGAGGUGUUGGGGGCUGGGGAGAUGGUGGAGGAGGUGUUGAGGGCUGGGGAGAUGGUGGAGGAGGUGUGGGGGGCGGAGGAGAUGGUGGAGGAACAUCACUACAGGCUGGGGAGAUGGUGGAGGAGGUGUUGAGGGCGGGGGAGAUGGUGGAGGAACAUCACUACAGGCUGGGUAAUGCUCGGGGUAGUGGCUCUUUAACAACCAGGAUGGAAGACUUUUUUGCAUUUUAGCGUCUGGCACACCCUGGUAAUGUGCUAAGAUCAUAGCCCUGGGGAGCACCUGGCAGGAGGGGUGGCGUUCACAUCCUGGCCAGCUAGGCUGCAGAUCAGACACAAUACCUGAGCUCGGCUCCCCAGGCUGAAGGAGGAGGAGGUGCAUGAGGAAGACAAGACUGCUGGUCAGAGAUACUGGCUUCAAGGAGUCCAGGGAGACUGGGAGAUC
rnacentral:lncRNA from 1 species